UCAAGUUUAUAGCUGUAAUAAAUUCAUUUUGAUGAACAUAAACUUCAAGCAUAAUGUUAAUGAAAUAACUAGUUAUAUUUUAAGAAAUUUUCUUUCAAGUGAGUUGAUCUGUGGUUGUAGACACAUCUCAGUUCAUUUAGAUAACUAGCAUUUUGAAAAAGAUGUAAAAGACCCAUGUGAAUACUGAAAAGUUGACAGUAUUAGCAUCUCCUAACUGGUAGAGCAGAUGAUCAUUCAUUCUGUGACAUAUUUUACAUAGUUAAACAAUCCUCAAUUCUCCACUCUGUUAUAUUUUACAAAUUACUUUUUACUAAUGAGAAAAACCAAGAUUUAGUAAGUAACUUGCCCAGGACAUAAAAUAUACAUUCAAGCGGUAAGAUUAAAUGCAUCUCUACAUAGUUCAAAACCUAUUUGGUUUCUACUAUACAACACUGUCUCAAGGUACAGUCAGAUGAAAGAUCACACACAAAUAAAUAUCUGUAUUCUAAGAUAGAACCCCAAAUUAGUAUCAAAAGCAAAUAGGUCCUUUAUUAUGCAGGAAAGCAGGAAUAAAAUGGUGCUAGACAAAGCAUAUUCUGAACCAGGUUGAGUAAUAGAACAUGGUUUAUUUUUAUAAUCAUUUAAUUGCAGUCAUUCCAUUGUGAUUCAGAUUGUAAUUGAGGCACAGUGAGAGUUGAGAAAUUUUGGGUGGUUCAUUUCACUUACCUCUUUCUUUGUAAAAUCACUGGUUGCUAGGAACCACUGCACUCUGAAGGAUUCCCUUGUUUACACACCCCAAUUCCUUUGACACCAUGUCAUUCCUGUGAUGACAGUAGGGGGCUCUUGAUGAGAUUGUCAUUGCACUUUUAUUGUCAAUGGAACUUAAUAGAACAACUCUCUGACUUCUUCAAACAUAGUCUCUCAACUUCAAACUACUUCCAAGUAUGUCACUACGAAAUCGAAAUUUCUAGGGAAAGAAAUAAACCGUAUGGUGCUUUUCCCCUUCAGCUUAUUCUACCAUAUGCUACUAGAAAAUGGGAAUGCUAUAAUGCUAUUAAUUUAGACUCCCUGUGUUCCCAGUGCUACCAUUCCCCAGCUAAUUUAAAGAAUCUUUUCUAUUGGGCUGGAAAAAUAUUGUCUUUGGGAAAAGAAAAAAGAAUUGGAUUAGAAGAGACCAAUGAGACUGAAAGUUGUCUUGCUCCUGGGCCUAAGAACACCAUACACAGAAGACCAGAGUUCUUGGAGUUCACAUUACUGCUACAUUGUGGUGGUUGGAAUGAAAUUGUCUGCCUCGGGCUUGGGUAUUUGAACACUUGGUUCCCAGUCCCAGUUGGCACUGUUUGUGGAGCUUGAAGAGGUGCAGAUUUGCUAUAGGGAAUAUGAGAGUUCAGAGCAUUACCCGACUUCUGGUCCACUCUGUCUGUUUCCUGCUUGAGGCUGAGGAUAUGAGCAUUAAGCUUCCGGCUUCUGAUCCAAUGCCUGUUGAUUGCUACUAUGCUUCCCCGUAAAGCUGGACACUUGUCCUUCGGGAACCGUAAACUAAGCUAAACUUUUUCCAAUAUGUUGUCUUAAUCCUGUGUUUUAUUUCAGCAACAAAAAGUAACUAAUACAUGAAUCUUGAAGCUUUUUUUGAGCUACAGAAUUCACAGGUUGGCGUCAGUACAUUACUUGUUGCUAAUAGAAGGUGUAUGUCCUGAGCAUUACUUUUUAUCUGAUUGACCCUGAAUACUUCAUAAAGCAGUCCUUCAAGGAAUACUGGCAGAGCAUUUCAGUGCUACAAAAGGACAACCUUUGUGGUAAGCCCAAAAGAAUUUUAAGGUUUUACAGAAGUAUAUGCAAAGUUAAGUUUUAGGCUUAGAUAUUUUAACAAAAUUAGUACACUUAUCAUGUGUAGAAGCAGUGUCCAUAUAUCACUCUAAAAUUUUAAAAAAGCAAAAAAAAACUCCACAAACAUUAUGAAUGGAUUUGUUUUAAGUUAAAAAAAGAACAACUCAGGCUUCGAAAGAUGACCCAGUAGAUAAUGGCACUUGGGGACUAAUGAUGUAAGCCUGAUGACUUGAACUUGGUCCCUCGAAUCCACAUAAAGUUAGGAGAGACCUACUCUGUGAAAUUGUCCGAUGACUUCCCCAUGUUUAUCAUGUGUCCAAUGACUUCCCCAUGUUCAUCAUGUGUCCAAAGACUUCCCCAUGUUCAUCAUGGUAUGUGCCCACCCACUUUCCCCAUCACACAUGAGUAAUAAAUAAAAUAAUAAAGAUUUUAGAAAGCACAACUAAGAACUUUGGAAAUUUCAUGUUUCAGCUUCUAGUUGGAUUUUUGUUUUUCCCAUAAUGCUGCUUAUCUUUUUUAUUUUAAUGUGGAUAUGUCUAUAAAUCUUUUAGGAGUAUUAUUGUUCAUUGAGUCUUGGGGAAGUUUUCUAUAUUUCAAAUUCACAAAAUCAAUGUGUUCUUUUAGCAUUGUUAUUUUUAUAAAAAGCACUUGAUUUUUUUUUCCUGUGUAGAAUAGAUUUAGAUGCCUGUGUGGGAAAAAAAUCAAUAACGGUCGUUCCAUUUAUUGAAUAAUUCACAUUUUCCCGACUAAUUUGUAAUGACCAAUAUUUUCUGUGAUGUUUCUGAGUGUAUUGAUGUAUAUAGUUCUGUAUCCUUGGUCAAUUUUUGGCACCCGGCUAAAAGCAACAUGGGAAAGGAAAGACUUUUGGAGUUUACAGCCCAUUAUCAAGGAAACCACCUCAAGAACUCAAGGCAGGGACCUGGAGCAGGAACUGAAGAAGACACCUUGGAGGAAUGCUUUUCCCUGGUUGGCUCCACAGUGGCUUGCUCAACCUGCUUUCUUAUACAACGCAGCCCCACCUACCCAGGGAUGGCACCGCGUUUGGUGGGCACAUCAGUCAUUGGUCAAGAAAAUGCUAACAAACGUGGCCAAAGGUUUCAUAUCUGCAGAUUCAAUCAAGCAUGAAUAAAAAUGAUUCUGAACAUCAGUAAAAUAUGCAAUUUAAUCUGUCGUGACAUUUUUGUCCUUAUUCUGCAAAUAAUAAAAUAUUUUAGUGAUUUAUACA